UUUGUCUUCCAUCUUUUCCUCCUAACACAUUUUCUCCUCCUCUUCAACCUUUGAAGUGAACUUCUUCGUGUAGCAAGGCACUAAAGCUACCCAGGUUUCCGAUAAGCAGCUUCAAUUCUCAACAGGGCACAGAUGUCACCUGUUGUUAUCAAAACUGGCAAAAGUCAAUGGCUAAAAGUCAAAGAGUUGAUGAAAAAAUAGGUGUUGAAAACACCAGCUGCAGCAGUUUAAGCAACAUGUCAAAGGGUUUUGAAGCCAAUAUCAGGCAGUCUUCAUACAGGAAAAUGUUAGAGAAGAUGCUGUGAAGACCCCUUGUUUCUUAAACAGGCAAAGCUCCCUGCUUUGGCAGAACUGAUUCCAGACCUGAAAAUGUUUGGAAACAUUUAAGUUUUUCCCCUUAUUUUCCUCUGAUGUGGGAACUUCCACACUGAGUAAUUUUGAAUUCUAGAGGUGUGGUUAGUAAUGUUAAUGCCAGUCAUGGCUGAGAUAGAUGCCAGUCCAUAAGAGUCUCGACCAAGGUAUCUCUUUUGUAACUGUUUCAGCUUUCUGCGCACUUUUUGCCCUUUUUCAUUUAAAUGGAUAUAUCAAGGGGCUGGUUGGUUAACUUAAUCGAUUAAACCUAAGUGGCAGGAUUCUGGUUUCAAAUUGUGCAAUGCAGAUUAAAGGGGAAAAAUGUGUUUUGGAUUCUCAGACUAGAAGUAAUUAGUAUACAGUAGUUCUAAUAUAUAAUAGUGCAAGAUUUUGAGAGAAAAUGAAGAAUUUAGUUCAAACUAGGAUGAAAAGGGAAACAAUCUACUCAAAACAAAUAUGCUUUACUGAUGCGUAGUCUCCUCACCUUGCAUGGGCCCUACCAUAGGCAAGGUGUCAAGAAACUAAAAAGAAAGUACAACCCAGUGCCUUCAGGUGUAAAAGUCCUGAGAAAAUGAACGCACAGAGAAAAAAUAGGUUUAGACAGAAAAUUGAGACGAUGACUGGGUGUUGCUCUAAGCCCUUGGUAUUUAUUAUAUUUCUUCCUGAAAAAGAGUUUUUGGUCUAGAAAUUAACGUUUUAUGUUUCCAUAUGCGUGAACAUUUUUGAGUGCUAUUAAGAAUGUCCAUAGAAAAUUCAGGUCACAUUGACUAUUUAGACUACACUUGCCAGGGCAUAUUUUUGAAACCUCAUUUCUAUUUUUGUGAGCUAAAAUUUUGCAGGUGGUAAGGUGGUAGAUGCAAAUAUCAUAAUGUGAAUAUGAGCCAAUUAACCAACAACCACAUUUUAUGAGGUUGCAACCACCUAAUUGUUUUGUGUCUGCAGCUAAUUAUUUCUGGGAGAUAUUUCUGCGUAUGGAAAAGGAGUCUGUUAUUAUAAUUGAGUGUACAGCAAAACAAAAGUUCUGCUGUAAGUACAUCAAGGGCAAGGAUCACAUCUUCUCUGUGUUCCGUAAAAUUCCAUAAAUCACUUCGGGCCCAUGGAUUCUAAAUGAAUAUAAACUGCUAAUGGUGACAUGAUUCUAAAGUCUGGAAAACAAAUUGAAUAUCCAGCUGCAGUGAAUAAUAUCCAGGAUAUAAAAUAUCAACAAAAUUUUGAGUGGUUGGUAUUAUUAACUCAUUGAUGCCAUUUCUCAUAGACUCAGAAUUUUUCAGAUGGAAAAAAAUCGACUCCAAUGUCGCUACCUUAAAGUUUGAAAAUUAUGGUCAUGAUAAAUUAUGUGACCUACUCAAAGACUUGUGAUGCCAUUAGGCCUAACCCCUAAGGGGCACAAUGUCUAAACCAGUGCCCUCCAGAAAAGGCUCAGCACUUUCCCAAUUUUUACUUUAAGAUGUUAGAGGCAAUACAUGUCAACAGAAAACAUGUCUAUUAAACCCAUGCAUGCCAGGCCUACGGGAGCUCUGACAAGUUUAUUUAAUUACAGGAGGCUAAACUUGUUCUUAUAAAUUGGUCUGUCCAGACAAAGUCGUGGACAAAGUAAGUAGUUUUAUGCAGAUAAGUUUUAUUUUUGUUAUUAUUGCAGCUGCUCAUUGAUAUUUUAAUGUAAGUUUUUAUUGAGCUAUGCCCUGAGGCUUUUUAAAUUGAGGGUUCAAUUAUUUAUAAAAUCUAAUAAUUAAGUAAAUUAAUGAGCCUAGUCAGAAAUCUGGCAACUUGACUGGAUGGAUUAGACACAAGAAAUACUAAUGGAAAGGGGUUUUUUUUUCCAUCUUUACAGGAAAAUCUUUUAAAAUAUUUUAGACUACGUUUUCUAGAUGUACACAAAAAGUCUGAGGCUGAGAUUUGCAGGUGAAUCAGUACACAAAUGCAGGUCAGAGAUAGAGCUUAACAACAGAUGGGGGUGGGCUGGGCAUAACUUGUGAUCUAAGUUGCCCCUCUUGCCAAGGCAAUUUAGAGUUUUACCAAGUAUGGCUUCCAGAAAUACAGAGGAAUAGCACAGUGUUCACAUCUCUUUACUUAAAGAUUGAAAACUGAUAAAUUAUGGCAUGUCCAGAAGAACGUAACUAUAAUGGCCACUCAGAACCAAAAGAUGAGACCAAAUUACAGAAACUAAAAAUGGUUAACUUGGAGAAGGCUACAUCCUCAAGUACAUGGAUAUGAGAAAGUCUUGGCUGCAUUAUUGUUUUUCAACAUUGCCUCUGCUGACCUCAUAGGAGGAAUGGUGUAUGGUGUUUCUUCUUCUCUCCCAUGUCAUGGAAGACACUCCUGAUGGCAUGUGGUCUGUAGGAAAGAAUAAUCACCUCAGUAACUUAAUGUAUGUAUGUUAUGUGUGUGUGUGUGUGUCUGACACACUGUAGGUACAUAAUAAAGAUUUGAAAAUAU